rnacentral:rRNA from 1 species
GACGAACGCUGGCGGCGUGCUUAACACAUGCAAGUCGAACGAAGUGGCGCACGGGUGAGUAACGCGUAAUCAACCUGCCCUUCAGAGGGGGACAACAUUUGGAAACGACUUCUAAUCCCGCAUACUGAAGGAGGGGAUUUCGUCUGAUUAGCUAGUUGGAGGGGUAACGGCCCACCAAGGCGAUGAUCAGUCGCCGGUCUGGGAGGAUGAACGGGCACAUUGGGACUGAGACAAGGGCCAGACGCCGACGGGAGGGAGCAGUGGGGAAUCUUCCGCAAUGGACGAAAGUCUGACGGAGCAACGCCGGGUGAGUGAUGACGGCCUUCGGGUUGUAAAGCUCUGUUAAUCGGGACGCGGUACCGGAAGAGAAAGCCACGGCUAACUACGUGCCAGCCGCCGCGGUAAUAC